GUUGGGUAACACUGUUUGGUAAAUCUCUUUCAGAGUUUUCCUUCCCAUUGGCCUAAACAGCUCAUAACCAAAACUACGAUGAAGGCUAACGAAAAACCUCUGGACCAGUGUUAACAUGUCUAGCGAUACAAAGCCAUUCACGUGAGAUUCUGGGCGACGUGUGUGGCGCACCCUUGGUAACAAGCGUUUGAAUCAGGAUAGACCUCUCACCAGGAAGAGCUGAUAAGCUCUGGACUAGCUUUAAAUGUGACUGGCCUGACCAAAAGAUACCACUUGGAUUGAUCGUUUGUUAUCUAAUGCAGUGAGAUCACACAAAGAGCAUGUCUGUGAAAUCUCAGACAUGGCCUCAGGUUCAGUGCAACUGACAUCAAACGGCUGUCAUGGAAAAAUCAGCUGAGCUAGAAAUGAAGUGAAGACCCAGAAUCAGAGGUAAAUGUAAUUCAAUUAAUUGUCAAAAUAAAUGUUGUUAAAGAACAUUGUAUUAAAUCGUAUUGGUCCAAAAAAGUUUUACAAAGUUUAUUAUGUUAAAGUUGUUUUUUAUAUUUUAUUCCGAUAGCAAUAUAGAUAUCAAUCUGCUAUAGUAUGUCUGAAACAAAUUACCUAAAAUGUUAUAUAGUAAUCAGAGAGAAUAUGUCUUCUCAUGUUAGUCCAGCAUUCAGUUUUUUAUGCAUUCAAAAAUGAGUUCUACUAUCUACCGAGAUAAAUACAGAAUCCAUUUUUAUUUAUUUAUGUAUGGCCGUUACUACCAACAACAGUUGUACUGUUCAAGGCCCCGACAUGCAAAGCAGCCUCACAAAAAGUCCAUAGUUCCGUUCUUGGGAUAGAUGAUUUGUGUAAUGUGUGUUUUGAAUAUGAGCCCUGGCAUGUGUUAACACGUGCUUAACAAAGAGCCAAUGGAUGGUCAGUGUGUGUUUCUCAGAUGGUUAAGGAGAACCUUAGGUGACCAUGAGAAGGUGAUUUGGGAGAUCCCACAUUGUGACUGUGAUGCAAUCUGAAACAGGCGUCCCACUAUAGUUUCACUUUGCUAAUGUGGUAUUAUGGAGUUGAAUCUGAAUGGUUUGUUGUGACCACAAAGAGCAAAACAAGAUAUAAAAUAGCUAUGGUUUAUUGAAGGUAAGGUGCAUCUGGCCAAUGAAACCAGAUGGUAGAAGAAUUGAAGAGAAACUUAAGUGUGUUUUCAGAUGAAGAGGAACCGAGUUGUGUCGGUGAAGCAAAAACUGGCCAAACAUUACACAAUCUUCUUUUACACAAUCUAAUUUUGCGAAAACACGUGAUAAAAUACCCUAAAUGGUCCCCAGCUGCUCUGUAAGUAUUUUUAAAAUGUGAAUUGUGUUUGAAAGUUGCUGUGAAAUUUUGUAUCAAACACAGCAUUUAAUUUCUUUGUGUCUUUUGCUUAUCAAUCCACCAAACAAACCCUAUGAUAAUGGAAAUUACGAGCAUAUACAUGACCAAUAGACAUAUUUUAGGUAAAGUAGAUGAACAGGAAAAAAUUAACAGUGCGCUAGGAAAUACAGCUUAUGCAUAGAAAAACUCCUGCACCUUCAUAAGUUAACCAUCUGAUUUCAUACCAUACCAUAGCUCUAAAAACUUCCAUAAAGUUAGACACCGGUCAAUACUAUGUGACAAUUAAAGGAUGAAACCAGAAAGAGCACUCACCAUGGUGGUAG